CACCGUUCCUCUCACUCAGAGGCAUUUCGGGCAAAAGGUCUCUCAGCGAAUCCAACCAAGUCUCCCAAAACCCUCAUUUCUCUCGAUUUUUGCUCAGAAAUCGCCAUUUCUUUCUUCAGUUCCAACCAUUUCGUCGAUUGAUGGCGAAAGGAGCUUCGGAAUUCUCGUUUCUCGGACGUGCAGAGAUGUCAGAUCAGAACUUUGUGAAUGAAGACUGAAGCAGCGGAGCAGUUAAAAGAGAGGGAGGAUUGCAAUGGAGAUUAUAAGCAGUUUAAAAGAAAUGUUGCUGACUCAAUUGCGUUUGGGAAGUUAAGAGGGAAAAUCAGUAGAAGGAAUCUGAUAUCGGUUGAAGUUCAUAAUAAGGAAAUCAGUAGGAGGAAUCUGAUAUUGGUUCGUUUCAAUCAUCUUACUUUAAGGUAUGGCUUAUAUUAGGUAGCCUCUCCCUCUUGUAAGCUUUUAAUGAUGCAUACAUGUAAGUGGUUCACUCCUCUGUGGCUCUACAUGCCAACCUGGCACAAAUCUAAUUAUAAGCACAAUGUUUUAAGUUACUUGCUAUGAAUGGCUUUACUAAUUAUAAGCACAAUAUUUUAGCUUUCGUUUUAUUUGAAGUUAUUAUAAUUUUUGUUGUAGGCCAAUGAUAAUAAUGUUGAUGAUGAUUUAUAUUGCUAUGAAUGCCAGGUCAGCCAAG